GAAUUAGAGUUGCUUUGACAUAUAACUUACGGGCUAUGCAGUGAUAAGAUAAAGAUGUGCUAGCUGGUGCUUGGGGAAAACUGUGAUACUGGCAGUAUCUUCAGCAGCUGAGUGCUGCCUUUUUGAGGACUUUCCUUGAUGGAAAACAAUACUCAGGUAUAUGUGUUUACGUCAGAUAUAUUGUAGGAAGUGUUAGGGGAACAAGCAGAGUUGGGUGAAGAAGCAGCAGCUCCCGUAGGGGAACAGAAAAGUGAAUACUAACUACUAAAUGGAAGAAUGUUUGAUGCAUCCAAUCCAUGUGACGUUACUGAGAGAUGCAAGGUGCUCUAGCUGCUGUUUCCUCCAGUCGCCGUGCAACUUCCAUGCACCAACACUUGCUGGAUCUGACUAA
rnacentral:lncRNA from 1 species